UACAUAGGGAGCAAGCGUUAUCCGGAAUGAUUGGGCGUAAAGCGUCUGUAGGUGGUUCGAAAAGUCUACUGUCAAAUACGUUGGCUCAACCAACGGCAGGCAUUAGAGUACUAUUGAACUAGAGUAUGGUAGAGGUAGAGGGAAUCCCUAGCAUAACAGUGAAAUGUGUAGAUUUUAGGGAGAACACCAGCGGCGAAGGCGCUCUACUGGGCCAUUACUGACACUGAGAGACGAAAAGCUAAGGGAGCGAAAAGGG
rnacentral:rRNA from 1 species